AUGCAUGCCUUUAUUAUUCGACUAUAUGUGGUUAUGGGCAGUGUAAAACUGUCCUCGUGGUCGGCAAGUACAUUUACAUACAACGAGAGUCUAUUACAUUUCUCGCUUCUUCAACUUAACAAUGAGCCCAUUUUUCAUCUCCAGUAUAAUGGACGUCUUAGGCUGGAUGCUUUGCCCUUCCACCACCUUCACAUCGAAGUUCCACACAGCUGUAGCAAUGACAGUCUUCAUUUGCAUAAGUGCAAUGUCCUUACCGAGGCACAUCCUCGGGCCAGAGUUGAAGGCCAAGAACUUGUGAGAUGGUAUGUAUUUCAGGUUGUUGCCAUCAUCUGA
rnacentral:rRNA from 1 species